UUUUUUCUCAUUAAGCUUUGUAUUAAUGGGCCUUAAAAUUCUAUGACAGAUUUUUGGUCAAGUUGUUUCCAUGAAAAAGUACUGUUUUUAAAAAUUAAUAACUUAAAACUGCCCCAAACAAAGCAAAUGAUUCAAAAAAUUCUCCUUUCCUUCUGAAGGUUUUACAAUAUAUUGUUAUCAUUAACUAGUUUUUUCCUAUUAAACUUAAAUGGCCAAUUGAGACAAACAGUUCUGAGACUGAUUUUAAAAAUUAAUAACUUAA